GGAUAUCGGCCUAUACACACGAAAAGAGAGAAGAGCGAAAAUUUUGCUACUUGCGAUAUGGCACGACUUAUAUAGACAAUGAACUAAUACACUCGUGUUCUAGGCCGUGCUGACCAGCAUGCCUAUAGCACGUGUUAGUCGCCGAAAACGUGUUGAAGUCCAUUUUUUUCUAUCAACACAGUUUAGGUGCCCUCAACACAGGCGUGUUACAUGACAUGAUCGUGUCCAUAGCACGUGUUACUCUCAGAAGAUGUGCUGAAUUCCCAUUUUAUCACAACACGGUUU
rnacentral:lncRNA from 1 species